GAUGAAGAACGUAGCGAAAUGCGAUACGUAAUGUGAAUUGCAAAUUCAGUGAAUCAUCGAGUCUUUGAACGCACAUUGCGCCCCCUGGUAUUCCGGGGGGCAUGCCUGUCCGAGCGUCAUUGCUGCCCUCAAGCACGGCUUGUGUGUUGGGCCCCGUCCUCCGAUCCCGGGGGACGGGCCCGAAAGGCAGCGGCGGCACCGCGUCCGGUCCUCGAGCGUAUGGGGCUUUGUCACCCGCUCUGUAGGCCCGGCCGGCGCUUGCCGAUCAACCCAAAUUUUUUAUCCAGGUUGACCUCGGAUCAGGUAGGGAUACCCGCUGAACUUUAGCAUAUCAAUAAGCGGAGGA
rnacentral:misc_RNA from 1 species